GGGGUGUAUAGCUCAGUGGUAAAGUAUUCGACUGCAGAUUGAGAGGCCCCGGUUCAAUUCCGGGUUUCCCCU